AUCGUUGCUCAAGAACUUGUAGAUUUCAUCGGCACACAAAGGGUUACGAUGGAAGGCUGGCCAACAUUGCUCUAAAACGUCUGGCGGUGGGAUUUCAGGGUUCCUCUCUACGAGUCUUGAUUUAUACACCAUUCUUCCAGGGCCCCUUCUGUAUACGUCACUAAGGGCGAUUUUAGGGGUCCUCUCUACGAGUGUUGAUUUAUACACCAUUCUUCCAGGCCUCCUUCUAUAUACAUCACCAAGGGCGAGACCUUGUCCUACCAACACAAUUACCCAAACAAU
rnacentral:lncRNA from 1 species